rnacentral:rRNA from 1 species
UACGGAAGGGGCUAGCGUUGUUCGGAAUUACUGGGCGUAAAGAGCGCGUAGGCGGCUUACCAAGUUGGGGGUGAAAUCCCGGAGCUCAACUCCGGAACUGCCUUCAAAACUGGUAGGCUCGAGUCCGGAAGAGGUACGUGGAAUUCCCAGUGUAGAGGUGAAAUUCGUAGAUAUUGGGAAGAACACCGGUGGCGAAGGCGGCGCCCUGGUCCGGUACUGACGCUGAGGCGCGAAAGCUUGGGGAGCGAACAGG